UCUCUGCCUAUAUUCUCUUUAAUAUUGCAUUGUAUUUAGUAUUAUAUUGUAUUUACUAUUUACUCCUUGUAUCUAGUCCUUGUAUUUAGCCGCAGAGUAUCACUGGGAGGCGUAUUGGUGUUCGGGUGACUCACGGUGGAGAUUGGUUGCAUGGGCGAGGUGAUAUUUUCUUCCGGGGUGUUUUAUUUGCUUACUUUUACCGUUUAGGCCGUGGGAUCUGCCAUUAGGGUAGGGACUAGAUGCUGUCGAGCUGACCGGACAUAUGCAGGGAGGUCCGUGAGGGCUUGGAAGGCAGUGAUGGGGGUGAAGGUGUCGCCGCCCAGGAGGUCCCCAAGAUUUGGCCUCUGAAUGUGGAGUCUGGUCAGGGAUGCUUUGAGGUUGAUGCGGAGGGAGUAGAAUCUUGGGCAGUGAAGCAGGAAGUGUUCUGGUGUGUGGGGCACCAUGGGCACUGUGGGUCCUGGGUCAUGUUCAGUCAGUACGGGUGUGUCCAGUCCUCAGGUGGGUGAUGGCUGUGUCCAGGGAGAGGGGGGUAUGUGAUGUUCAAGGGUGAUCUAUUAGGUCAGCUGUCAGUCUUGUGCUCCAGUGUCUGUUGAAUGUGUCUUGGGUGAGUCAGUAGGUCACUGUGGCCUGUCUGUUGGCUGGGGAUGUGAGUGUGCCAGGUUGGCUUCUUGAUCUUGUGCUAUCUGGAGAUAAAUGUAUAAAAUAUGAAGUUGAAUAAAUUGAUGCAAAAUUAUGCAUCAGGAGUGCCAUUAAGCCAGAUACAAGUUUUAAAUACAUAUAUGAAAUAUUAUCCACAUAAAUAAUAAUGCUAGUUUUAUCUUACCCUCAUAAAGUGUAAUUAAUUCAUGAGCAAUUCAGAUUUUUUCCUUGCAACUAAAUUCUGAGAUAGCUUCAGCUUCUGGGAGGAUGCUGAUUGGAGAUUGAUUAAUCUCAGCUAAAUUUUGUGGCACAUUGUCAUAUUACAUAAUGGCUGCUGGCUUAGUAGGGUAUUAUUUCUAAAUCUAUUCCCAAUAUCAUUAAAAAACUUUUCAAUUUUUAUGGAAAUACAAAAUCUGACUAGUGUCUACUCUGAAUUCAUGACAAGGAGUAGCUAAAGCAUAGAAGAUCAUUCUUUCCUAAAUGCAUACUGAAUAGCUGCAGUUUCCUGCAGAAGCUUCAGUUUGUCCAAUGAUAGUCUGUUAUUUGCCAUUGAAGCUCAGGUUCAGCACAUUUAAGUGGGCUGUCAUGUCUGUUAGAAAUGUGUGAGAGAAAGGAAAGUCUUCAUCUUGCAGCUGAGUUUGGUUUAUCUUUAUAUUGCUCAGCUGUUCAUUUUGAAGAAAUAAAAGGAUGUCCUUAAGAGCAAAGAAAUACUGGAGAAAUUUUCCAUCUUUCAGCCUCACAAUACUGAUGUGCAUGGGCAGUGGUAGAUCAUUGAAUUCUGCAUUCAGUUCACAGAAAAAUUCCCAUUUCUAUGACCUAUUAUUGCUUUUGAUUAAUUAACUACGCUGGCAAUCAUGACAUCACUUGUCUGUAAUAUCUUACCAUAUUCACACCUAAACCUGGCAAGUCAUCUAAUCCUGCUGCUCUGGUUCAAAAUACAAGGAUAUUACUCAAUGAUACAUUACAAGAGAGAAAUUUAUUAUUUCAUAUAUUGUCCCAUGGUAUAUUUUUUUAAUUGUUAUAAGAUUUCACCUCUUUUUUAAGUUUUUUUUUAUUUAGUUUCUCUCUGAAAUACAUGAAUGAAAGAGUUGUAGACAACCAGUAACAUGUAGAUAAAUAUUUCCACCCCUAAGUUGGUUGAUAAGAGCAGUGUCUAUUGGUAUCAUAUCAUGAUAAGAUAACGGGGCUUGCUUAUCAGGUGUGACUGUUUCCUGACUAGGGUGGUGUGUGCACAGAGUCUGUCCAGAUAUUCCAGUUGACUUUGUCAUUAAUUAAUUGAAGUGUGCAUUGGCAAGGCUGAGCAGAGUGAGCAAACCAAAGGACUCCUGACCAUCACUUCAUCUCGCCAGUCCUCCAGGUGUAAACAAUGGCGUCUGGAGUAACCGUUGCAGAUGGCAUCCAAAAGGCCUACUCUGACAUUAAGACCGGGAAGAAGUAUAGGUAUAUGAUUUUUUAUAUCAAAGAUGAAAAAGAGAUUGAUAUUGAGAAAUAUGGUGAAAGGGAUGAGACCUAUGAUGAUUUCCUAAGCUGCCUGAGUAGCCUAGGACCUGAUAAGUGCCGCUAUGGCCUCUAUGACUUUGAGUAUGAGCGCUCCUUCCAAGGAACUUCAGAGUCCAAGAUGAAUAAGCUCAUCCUUAUGUCUUGGUGCCCUGAUACUGCUAAGAUCAAGACCAAGAUGCUCUACUCCACCAGCUUCAAUGCACUGAAACAGGCCCUAGAAGGCAUUCAGAAGUACAUUCAGGCAACUGACAUGUCAGAAGCAUCCUAUGAAAGUGUCUUGGAGAAAUGUACUGCAUCAGACCGUGCUUAAGUCUACCAUUAGAGAGUACUUUUAUAUAACUAUACAAUGGCACUAAACAUCCAGUUAGGCGAGGCCUCUGACCGCCCCAACUGCACAACCUGCUGAACUCGUUUUUGCAGGUAUCUCAUGUUUUAUAAUUAAGUAUUCACAUAGCUUUUGGAUUGUUUAAACCAAAUAGGCCUCAGACUUUUGAUGUCAUCGUUGUUGGCACUGGUCAUGUUAUUAAUUACUUUUGAUUCAUAUAUUAUGCUCGGGACUUUGCUUCACCAUUAUUAUUGUAUGUUAAAAAAAUAAUUUGUGUAGUUAAAAGGUUUCUGCCCCAAAGUGAAUUGCUUCCUUGCUAUUUCUCAUUAAUAUCCUUAGCCACCUUAUGUUUGCAUUUUUGUUAAAAGUCAGGUGACUUAAAAUAUUUCCAUUACUGUACCUUCACAGCUUACAUUAAUGGUAGCUUUGCAUUCCAACAGUGUUGCUAUUAUCAACACUGAAAAAACUUGACAUUUCAUUAUACAUUCCUCAUUCAGUUGCAUAAGCAUCUGUAAUAGAGGCACUGAUGUGGCCCUCUGAAAUUAACUAUGACCUUGAUCCAUUUUGUCAUGUAAGUAGACUAGAAAUAUAACCUCAGUUUAAAAUUGAUUGUUAUAUUCUGUAAUCAAAUUAGAAAUGUAUAAUAUUGUGUACCUAAUAAUUAUUUUCUGGUUGAAUUGUAAUUUUUAUAUAUUUUUUUUAUGAAGUUAGAUACUAUUAGCUUUUACAAAUAUAUUUGUUCAAGUUAGCUACUGUUAGAUCUUAAUAAUGUAUUUGCUUGGAUAUUAUUUUACUUGAACACUACAUACUAAAUUUACAUAAUCAAUGUAAGAGCAAUCAGGUAUAAUAAAAUGAUGUAUCUUUA